AAAUGUUGAUCUGUGUGGCUUAGAAGGUUAGUGAGGACCUGAGGGAGUCGGCUUAACAGCCUCGUCUCCGUACACAGCAGACCGUGCCAACACCAUCAAGCUCCAUGCCCCCAAGCAGGAAAAGCUCAAGAGAUAUUACCUCAGCCUCCUUUGACCACGAUGCUGAGGGGACCUAAGCAGCAUCAUUCCUGGGAGGAAGAAGUGCUUGGAACACUCACUUGGUUGGAGUAGUGCCACCGAGGGAUUAGUCCUCUGAAGCCAAACUGACUCUACAUCCACCACAAUGCCUCACUUCAGCCUGAAGCGCCCAGGAGAAAAGAGACCGGCUACAACUUCUCCCCAGACAACUGCGCAUUUCAGAGAUGCGGAUAAGACAAGAGGCACCUAUCUGCAAGUUGUUGUUCUAGGAGCUCCUUUGGGUUAUAAUGUCCUCUCAGAACACUUACAUCACCAUUGAUCACCAUCAGAAGCGUGGGAAAGCCGCCAUCGUGCAGGAGAAACAGUGGCCGUCUACGCACUGUCUCAUUACCUGACAACAAGGAAACACCAGCCUCAACUCGGGAGUGGAACCAAGGAACCAAGCAGAAGGGCCGAGAAGCACCUCAGCUUGGAGAUGGCUGUGCCAGCGGCUCUGACACCAUAGAUACUUGUAUAGCCAUUUCUUCCAUAUUGAAACAUUCCACUGAGAAGGACAAUAGAUGCUCACAAAGCUCACAAGAGAAUUAUAAGACUCACAAGGCCCCUCCUCAGAACUUUGUAGAUGGGAAACAACUGCUAGAGGACAGGAGACUCUUUGGGGAUGUAGCUUUUAUCAUGCUGAUGUCAGUGACAAGCUGUCAAUGUUGUUAGAGUGGGCUUUGGGUAAUGCAGUUCCCUGAGGCACCUAUGCAUCUAUAAGUAAGCUCCAUCUACCCUCCUAUAAACAACCCCAAUGCCCACAUUGCUUCACCAAGUUAGACUUGGGUGGAAUUGUGCUCACCAGUGUCCUUUCAGGGUUGAACAGACUUUUGUUCGUGUCCCCAGGAAAAGUCACACAGAAACUGCCUUAUAGAGCAGAACCAACACAUGAUGCUAUUUACAGCAGAGAUGAAAUGGAAAUUGAUCCAGAAAUGCUUGAGUGAAGGGUAUCAGGGCUUCAAAUACUUAUACGACCAGCUCAUGUCAUAGGCAAGGAAGAAGAAUGCAGUAGAUCAUUGUUGUCUUACAUGUUGAGAUGUAUUUGAUAAUGUGAUCAUCUUAAAAGGUCGACCCUGUAAGGGGUGGUGAAGUCAUGAGGGCAAAGCCAUCAAGGAUGGUAUCCUGGCCUUUGUAGAGAGGCUUGGUGGAGUGGAUAUAUUUAUUCUCUGCUGCUGUAAGGACAGAGUAUCCAUCAGCUUCCAGCCUUUCUGCCUUCUACCAUGUAAAGACACAAUGUUGAAGGACCUAUCUUGAACACGUAGACUAGACACUCAUAAGACACAGAAUUGACCAUUGGGCCAAUCUUGGGCUUUCCAGCCUUUAGAACUGUAGAAAUAGGUGCCUGCUAUUUGGAAUUACCCAGGCUCUUGUGUUUUGUUGUAGAAAUCCAAGCAGACCGAGACACAGCUUAAAUAGAACCACUUUUGUCCCCAUUUCCCAUUUAAGUUCAGUAUGAAACCUUUUCCAGCAAGCAGUCAUUAUGGCACAGAGGAAAACAAGGGCAAAGACUCAAAGCUCUCCCUAAGUGUAAACUUUACUUCAAUAGGAACUUUCCCUCAGGCACUCUAAUCCCCAGUUACAUGCCCCUGCCUCUAGGUCCAUCCCUUCUCCCUGCUUCCUCCCUCAGAGUCUGGCUCUCUUCUUAACUCUUAGCUCUCCCCAACUCCAACCGGUGUAAUAUUCCCGAAGCCCAGACUGGCCCCAAACCAACCCCAAGCAGACUAACCUCCUCAAGUUUGGAUAUAGAGCUCCCCGUGGACAACCCCUAAAGACCUCCAAAUGAAAGUAGAGCCAUGUUCAAACUCAUGCCCUUGACACAGUAUAGCAAGAAGCUAAAGAGAAACCCUUCGUGGCCAUAUGGCUCAUCUUCAGUCUCUACAGUGGUCCAGGAUACGUCCACCAACCCGUCUUCCCCCCUACUUUACUCAGUCCUUGGUUACUUCUGGCUUUCUCCCAUUUUUCUUCUCAUGUGGGCAUAUCCCUUAAUAAAUCCCUCGCUCCAUUAAUCCCA